rnacentral:tRNA from 1 species
GCGGGCGUGGCGGAAUUGGCAGACGCACUCGGUUUAGGUCCGAGCGACGCAAGUCGUGGGGGUUCGAAUCCCUCCGCCCGCACCA